rnacentral:lncRNA from 1 species
CAAAGAAUAUUUUUGUGUCUACUGAAAUUAACAAUUCUUUCGAAUGGCUGAAAUAGGUAAAAAAUACACUAUAAUGACAUUAUAUUUCUUUAAAGAAGAGGAAAACAACCACACUUUUCCAUAAAUAAAUAUUAUGAUUGGUUGAGUCAUUAUUUCUAACUUUUUGCACUUCUUUAAUUUCUUCUUCUAACAACUGUGAAGUGGUCAAAAGGCAAAAAAGAGGAGGAAAGCAAAGAGGAAGAAGCCACAGGGUGUAGAUAAUCCACAAACAAGCUAAUUGGUCCCUGGGUAAUUGCUGACUCUCUUCAGCAGUCAUGCAAUGGAGAUUUCUAGGAAAAUGUAAAUAUACUGUGU